rnacentral:lncRNA from 1 species
CCCUCCUGUUACAGUUAAAUGAUUUAUUCUUUUAAAUUCCUUUUAGCUUUAAAUGAUUCUAUGAUUGAAAAAAUUAACUUUAAACUGGAAAUUCUCUCUCUCUCUCUUUUUUUUUUUGUCUUUUUUGGGCCACACCCACAGCACAUGGAGGUUCCCAGGUUAGGGGUCUAAUUGGAGCGAUAGCUGCCGGCCUACGCCACAGUCACAGCAACGUCAGAUCUGAGCCGCGUCUGUGACCUACAUCACAGCUCAUGGCCAUGCUGGAUCCUUAACCCACUGAGCAAGGCCAAGGAUUGAACCUGCGUCCUCAUGGAUACUAGUCAGAUUUGUUUCCACUGAGCCACAACGGGAACUCCUAAACUGAAAAUUCUCAAUUCAACAAGAUUUUACUGACCACCCAGAAAACACAAGGUUCUUACUGAGUUCAGACACAUUGGGGAGCACACACUUGGUUUAGAAUUCUGGGCUUGUCACCUAUGUGCUUUGAUCUCCAAUGAAUCAGUCACCUUUCUUGAUCCUGAAUUUACCCAGGUGUUCUAAUAGAUAUUGAGCACAGGCUGCCCCGUCAAAGGACCAGAUGUUUUCAAUGAGAUUAUUUCAUUGACUGCUUCCACCCCUGUGAAGAGUUUAUGGAUGUGCAAUAGGACUUAGAGAAGUUGGGUCAGUUAUUCAGGGUCCCAAGUCUGUGAGCCGUGGAGGCAGGAGGUGAGCGGAAGUCUGCCUCCUCCCACAUGCUGCCUCUCCAUGCUUAUUGGUCGCUUUAUCAGCAGAAGACUCACUGCCAAGGCGAUGUGUCUCUGCCAUAGGGCAAACCUUGUGAACUACAGUUAGUUAGUUAUCUGUCUCUCCUGAGGUAACACAUAAUUGCCGGGUGUCCUUCCACAAAUUUCUCAUGGCUCGGGCAAGCAUACAUGCAGUGUAUAUAGAUGUCUUCCUCCAUCCCUCCCUUCUUUCCUCCCUUCCUCCCUCCCUCCCUUCUUUCUUCCCUUCCUCCAUCCCUCCCUUCCUUCUCUCCCUCUUUCUCUCUCUCUCCCUGUUAACUACAUGGGAGUCUACUAGAUGCAUUGCCCUGGCAUGUGUUUAGUUCCACGUAAUCUAUGCGCAUUUAUUGAAUGAAUGACUGAACUUGCUGCUCACCUUGUUUUGCAAAAGUGAGAAGUUAGGUCAGGCCCUAUACCUCUCACCAGAGAGAUGUCCUCUCUGCGUAUAAACUGGUAAGAGAAGGUCCCAAGAGAAGCAGGUAGAAAAGAAACAGAAAGCUCUCGCUGAGACCUUGUAGGAGCACCAGGCUUUGGGCAGAAGGGGCCUUAGCCAUCAUCUAGAACCACAGCUCUCCACAGACACAGCUAUGUUCAGGUUGUAACGAGGCUACACGAAUUUUGUUCAGUAAUAACGUAGGGAAGCUUUAGACUUUUUUGGUCAAAGUUAUCCUUGGAGUAAUGUAAUCUUCCAGGCAACCCUGGGUCACCCAUGGGCUGAGUUAUAUAUCACAAACCCCUGAGAAUAUGAGUGCCACCCGCCUCUCACUUCCUGCAUUACCUUUGAAUCAGGAUGCAGGUUUGGCUACUCUGACAAAGACCUGAAGCUGGAGCUGGCAUCAGUUUUCAUAAAUCUUAUGAGCUGGUUGUUAAGCAUAGCCAUCCUUAAACAUUUUAAUUAUAUAAACUUAAAAGGAAUAAACUAUACCAAAAACAGAGGCAGUGAAUAUUCAAAACUUACUGCUUCCUGAUGCUGAUUUCCAUCUGUUGCAUGAGCAUGGUGGCACGGCUCGAUAGAGGUGUGAUAUUGCAGCCCCUCGGUUCUGACCUUCCAGGCUCCUUCCGUCUUGCUGCUCUGGCAUCUCAGCACCUGCAUUCCAUCCUGGGUCCAGGGAGGCUUGUCUCUGCUCUAAUAUGCUGUCUACAUCCCAGCCAGAGGAGUGAGGGCAAAGAGGAGGGGGAGGUUCACUCCUUCCCUUUUCAAGUCAUGGUCUUUAAUUUGCAUACAUCACUUUUGCUGACCUCCCGUUGGCCGUACCUCACCGCAAAGGAUCCUGGGAAUAUGGGCUUUAUCUGGGCUGCCAUGUGCUCAGCUAAAACUCUUUUUACUCUAGAAGGAGCGAAUAGAUGCAGAGGAGACCACUGGCAGUCUUCGUUGUAACAUUUCAGGAAUUCUUCUUAGCUAGCCCUGGGCCACUAAGUGUUCUAUCCCACCUUUGCCCUUCUUCUUCUGAAGGCUUGUUACAGGGCUCAGGAAAGUCUCUUGCCACUGUCACAGCUGGAAUAGACAUGGCGUCUUCCAGUCUAGCUCACGUCCUCAGCCUCCAGGCAGUGAGAAGAGACUCGGAGGAAUGUGAGCCAGGACCAUUUCUUCUACAGACAGGGCACCAGCAGCUGAAUAGCAACACAGGAGCCCCCCUGUAUUCAGGGCUGAGCUGGGCUCCGAGUGGGGAGGGGAUCAUGAUACCAGGAAAAACGCGAUCGCACCUGCCUCAAGAGCUUCUAGUCCAGAUGAAACGCUUACACCUGAAAGAUCACUAACAAUAUGGGCAGUAACUGGUAAGGACAAGGUAAUUCCUCUCUAAUUUUAAAUUCUGGGCAGAGAACCAGUCUCCAUGAGCAACCAGCUCCUGGUUGGACUAAGUAAGCUCUUGUUUUUAGCGUUUACAGUUAUAAUCAAAUCAAACCUGCAACAAAGUUAGGUUGACAUUAGUUAAAGAUCUACAUAAUUGUUGUGCUGCCUGGUAAUUAGGCAGAAAUGGUAAGCAAUUCACAUAAAUGACUGUAAUUAGCAUUAUUUUUUAUAGCCAACGAUUUAAAAUUUCCCUGUUACCCUGUGCAGUUUAUCAGUUGUCACUCUUGGCUCUGGCGGUAAUGAAUGCUUUAUGGUAGGUGGGCUGCCUGGCUCUCUCUAGCCCCUGGUCAUUGUCUAGAAUGGCUUUUCCCAUGCUUCCCCUCCCAGCCCCCUUGGUACUGGGAAGUGGUGUGGCAGAGUUGUCAUGUGCUUGGGUUCGAGUCAAAAUGCCUUCACCGCCUACUCCAUGGCUUAAGCAGGGUAACCCUAGUGAAUUGUUUAAGCUUUCCUCAGAAGUGCCUCGACCUCAUUCCUGAGAAUGUCUAGGACAUAAUUAUUAAUACAUGGUAGUUGUUAACGCACAUUCGCAAAUCUAUUUGACAAAGAAUUUUAGCCUCUGCUAUUAACCAGGUGCUGCUCUAGGAGCCAAGAAUUAUUUUAGCAAACCAAAGUCCUACCCCAACUUUUUACAUUUUAGAGGAGGGAGACAGACAGAUAAUCAACAUCGCAGUUUAUCAGAGGGCGGUAAGUCGGAUGAGGAGAACAGGGCAGAGUAAGGUGUAGCGGCGAGGAAAGGUGCCAUUUCAGCAGCAGGAGUGGAUCAGGAUAAACCUAGUGAAGGUCCUGACUCUCAGGGCUGACUUGUGCUCAUGCUGCUUGUCCGCUGUGGGGCAGCAGGGAUCCUGCUCCACUUCCUCAUCCCUCUGAAAGCCAGGUGGACGCCCUCCAUCCCCUGGACCUUCCCUAGUCGUUAUAGCAGGUAGAUGGGAAACACAGAAACUUAAGUCUGGCAGUGACCUUGGCCAAGGCAAGGUGCACACUGUGCCUGGCUCCAAGGUGGUCAGGAAUCUGGGGCUAACUUGUGCCUGGAAGGAGAGGAGCCAGAAAUGUCAGUGUGUUGGGUUAUCUUCAUUUGCCCCAGAUCUGCUCUCUGCCCUUGCUCCGCCCUGCUCCAUGCUCUUGCACCUGAACUCUGGACUGUAUCAUCAGGGUUCCUUUGCCCUCUGACAAGCCCUCUUUGGAUUUGGCCAAAAUGGUGCACCUGCAGGAGAGCUGAGGGCCAGAAAGGGCGGGCCCUUGUUCCUGUGGUUGUUUUUCUACGGCACUGCCAUGCCCAUGGCUCCACAUCUCAGAUGGGCUCUGGUGACACCAUUCCCUUCCUUGAGGACUAAGGGUGAGCAAGGGUGGUGCUGGCUUCCCAGCACUGCUAGUCUUUGAGGCCUCAAAACCUAUCUUGGUUUCCUCUGCACAUAAUACCUUCGUGAAAAGAUCUCUUCAAAGAUGAGUGCUCUGUUUGCUUCUGGCCAGGACUGUCUGAUAUAAUAGAUAAAAAUAUCUAUGCCACAGAGUUCCCUCUGAGGAGAUGACAUUUGAUGUGAGGAAGAAAGUCAAGCGGGCAUCUGGUGGAAGAUGCUGGAGUUGACAGAGAGGACCCAGCGAGGAGGAGAGGGGGGUGCUUGGCUCAUUCAGGGACUGGGAACGGCCCCGUGUGGCUGGAGCUGUGAGUGUGAUGGGAUGUGGCUGGUGGGAAGAGGUAGGAGUCCAGACCAAAAGGUGGGAGCCCGAUUAUGUCAGACUCUUCUAGGCGAGGGGAAGAAUUUGGGAUUUUAUUCUGAGGGACCUAAGAGACCAUGGCAGUGUGCCCUGACUUGCAGUUUUGAAGGAUCACUCUGAUUUUAGGAACAAAUCUAGGAGGCUAACGUGGGAGUCUCAGAGGGCGAUGUGGUGGCUUGGACUGAGGUGAGAGCUGCGGCAGUGGUGAGACGGGGCCAAAUUAGGGUGACAUGUUUAAAGGGGAGAUGACACGAAGUUUGCUGACUGACUGAAUGUUGGCAUGAGAGGAAAAGAAAACGCAAGAACCACUCCAGGUUUUGGCCCGAGGGAGAAUGAUUAAAGGAUGCAGUUUUUCGGGGGAGGUGAAAUUGGGUUCAGUAUCCAUCCUAUUGAAGACAUCUGUUAGACCUUGAAGGGGAUCUGUUGAGUUAGUGGUGAGAGGGAGAGGUCAGAGCUAGAAAUAAAAUUUGGUGAUUUCUGGAGUUCCCGUCAUGGCGCAUUGGUUAAUGAAUCUGACUAGGAACCAUGAGGUUGUGGGUUUGAUCCCUGGCCUUGCUCAGUGGGUUAAGGAUCCAGCAUUGCCGUGAGCUGUGGUGUAGGUCACAGAUGUGGUUUGGAUCUUGCAUUGCUGUGGCUCUGGCAUAGGCUGGCGGCUACACCUCCAAUUGGACCCCUAGCCUGGGAACCUCCAUAUGCCGCAGGAGCGGCCCUAGAAAAGGCAAAAAGACAAAAAAAACCCAAAAAACAAAAAACAAAAACAAACAAAACUAGGUGAUUUAUAGUGGUAGGUUGUACUUAAAGUCAAGAUAUGGAGGGCCUCUCCUGGGGGGUAAGAGCAACAGAGAAGGAAGAGGUCUGAGGAUCAGAGCAGGACAGUCUAACAUUUAAAAUUUCAGAAGAUAGGAGUUCCUGUCGUGGCUCAGUGAAAAAGAAUCUGACUAGGAACCAUGAGGUUGUGGGUUUGAUCCCUGGCCUUGCUCAGUGGCUUAAGGAUCUGGUCUUGCCCUGAGCUGUGGUGUAGGUCACAGAUGCAGCUCGGAUCCUGCAUGGCUAUGGCUGUGGUGUAGGCCAGCAGCUACAGCUCUAAUUGGACCCCUAGUCUGGGAAGCCCCAUAUGCCGCAGGUGCGGCCCUAAAAAG